rnacentral:rRNA from 1 species
UACAUGAGUGGUGAGCAUUAUUCGUAUUGAUUGGGCGUAAAGGAUGCGUAGAUUGUUAAAAAUAUUAUAUUUAACUAAAACAUUUGUUUAUUGGGAUCUAAUAUAAUUUUUUUAUACUUGAGUUAAAAAAAAAUUAAUAGACUUAGUUUACUAGUGAUUAAAUACAGAAAGUAAACUAUUGCUACUAAAGGCGAAAGCAAUUAAUUAUUUUUAACUGACGUUGAUGCAUAAAAGUACAGGUAGUGAGAAGGAUUAGGCACCCUAGUAGUCUGUACUGUAAAAGAUGAAUACUAAAUUUUAUUAAUUUUAGUUAACACGUAAGUAUUCCGCCUGGGGAGUAUAGUCGCAAGAUUUAAACUUAACAAAAUUGGCGGGAAUUUGUUCAAACGGUGGAACAUGUGGUUUAAUUCGAUAAUCCGCGAAAAAUCUUACCAGCGUUUUUUUAAUUUUAAAAAAAAUUAAAGUUUUUUUUUUUUAAUUAAAUUUGGUGUUGCAUGGCUGUCGUCAGUUCGUACUGUGAGGUGUAGAAUUAAGUUUUUUAUACGAACGCAACCCCAAUUAUCUAAUUUAAUUUAUAUUUUUUAGAUUAUUUUUUUUUUAAAAAUAUUUUUUAUUUUUUUAAAAAAAUGAAAUUUGGGAUGAAGUCAAGUCCUUAUGGCCUUUUUACGCUGGGCUACACACGUGUUACAAAAACAAAAACAAAGAGUUGCGAUGAUGUAAAUUAAAGCAAAUCUCCAAAAAUUGUUUUAGUUCAGAUUGUUUUCUGAAAUUCGAAAACAUGAAGCUGAAAUCGUUAGUAAUCGUAAAUUAGUACGUUACGGUGAAUUUAAAAUCAAAUUUUGCACACACCGCCCAUCACGCUCGAAGAAUUAUGACGGUUAGAAAUUAUCGAUUUUUUUUUAUUUCAUAGAUUAAUAUUGAUAGUCAAUACCAGAUUGGUAAUUUGAGUGAAGUUG